UUCCCGAUUUUCAGUUUUCUUUCAUUCUCUCUCUUCCUUUUGUUUUCUCUCUCUUCCUGAAAGUCCUCUCAAUUGGAUUGACUUCAUCUUCUUCAACUUUCGAUGUUCCUGGAAUUCGAUAUUGCUUAAUCUUCUUGAGAUUUUAUCUCUCUCAAUUUGCGCAGGUUAAUUCAGAGGACAUAGCCCUUUUCUAUCAAGAUUGCGAUGAAUCGAUUCAUGCGGCUGCUACUCUAGCCGCAAACCAUCAGAGAUACUUAGCACUCGUAUACGGUUCGCACUGGACUGCCUCUCGAAGUGCAAAAAUGAAACUGAAAAGAACUGCACAGAGCCAUCAAACCAAAAUGAAUCACAUGUUGCCUUAAAACAAACAGUGCAACAACCUGCUGCCUUUUCACCUCCAUCAUCAUGGGUUGUAGAUGAUUAAUUUCUUGGAGUUCCCUGAUUUUUAAUCUGCCAAUAAGAAACUAGGAGAGUUUAACUGGUGGUCAGAUGUAUUCGGUGAGCAAAUUCCUUACGAAGCCUUAGCAGCAGCUGAAGUAACUCAUCCAAACCUUGCAACAAAAAAUGUGAUAGUUUUUGUUGUUUCUUACAAUUGACUCAUCUCGUGGGUUGAAAAAAGGCAAUGACUUGAAGCUUCAAUUCUAUGCUUAUUUAUUGCGCUCAUUUAUCACUUCGUUCUUCAUAUAUACUAUUGAUAUUUUUUGAUUCACUUUCGAGCAUUUUUAGUUUACUUUUGAGACGUUUUGAUUUACUUUUGAGAUAAUUUGUUUUACUUUCGAAAUAUUUUAUUUCUUUUAUUUAUUCUAUAUGAAC